GGCGGGGCCUGGAGGUAGGAAAAGGAAGAGUCUGUGGGAAGGAAGCGGCGGGGACGCGCCGUGCGCGGUCGCGCCUGGUGUCCCGGUCCGGUUCCAAGCGCAGGGUGGUGCGGCCGCUUCUCCGGUCGGUGUGGCAGUGGCGCGCGCAUGCCUCAGGGGGCUUUGUUUGAUGGGCAGGAGGAAAGGGGAUAGUCCCAGGGCAUGCGGCCUCUUUUUGCCAGGCAAAUUGGAGAGUCGAGAAGGACACGGAGGGGGUGGAAAAGGAAGAAAGGGGGAAAGGAAAAUGCCUCGAAACCAGUUCCCUCAUUUCUGAGCUGGAGAAAAAACAGCCUUAGCCGGCGGCGCAGAAACUAGACCUGAGCGAGGGAGUAGAAGACAGCUUUGAAGGUGUGGACAGUACGAUGAGUGCUUUCCUUUUUGUUCCACAAUAUAAAUUACUGGAGGACAAUUGCACAGUAAAAAGGAAAAUGAAGAGUGACUUGUCACAGGGGCUGGAAUUCUCUGAGUAAACUCAAAAGGAGCAACAUCCUAGAAAUUCCUUAAACAUGCCUCUCCAGAACCUCUGAAUCCAAAACUGUACGACAAACUGUACAACGUACUUUAAUGAGCCCUCCAAAUGACACAUUACACUAUGCACAAAAGAAAAACUAUGCAAUACCUACAAAACCUAAAAAAGGUUCUGUAAGAAAGAAUGGGUGUCAUUCAUCAGUUGGAGACAGAGUCUCACUGUACCGCCCUCCGGUAGAGUGCCAUGGCGUCACACGGCUCACAGCAACCUCUAACUCCUGGGCUUACGCGAUUCUCUUGCCUCAGCCUCCCGAGCAGCUGGGACUACAGGCGCCUGCCACAACGCCCAGCUAUUUUUUUCUUGCAGUUUGGCAGGGGCUGGGUUUGAACCCGCCACCCUCGGCAUAUGGGGCCAGCGCCCUACUCACUGAGCCACAGGCGCCGCCCUAUUUAAUGUAUUCUUAAGAGAGGAUAUCCAGGAAGGAUGAAUUCUAGAAGAACAAAGGUCUUUUCAAGGAGACCCCAAGGAUACACCUGCAGGGGUCCACCCCCACCCCCCAUGGUGACUCAGCUCUUAGGAAUUUAUAGAAACGUAACUUCCUGGAACCUGGAAAUUUCUGCUUUUGUGAAAUCCUGUAGUUCUGUAGGAGUGGGAACAGCUUCUCCUGCUUGCUUCAAACUGACCAACUACAAAAGGUACCUGUGGGCUAGAACUUCUUGACUUUUCGACUGGGGAUAAAAAGGAGAAGCCGCAGCCAGUCGGGGAGUGUGGCCACUUUGCAUUUUAUUUUUAAGGGGAGGGGGAAAAAAGGGGAGAGAGGAGUUUGGCUGGAGGGAGGAUAAAUGGUGGGACCACACCUAUGGUGCAUAUUGCAAGGGUACAUAUCAAAUCUAUUAAGUGUAGAGUAUAAAUGUCUUUACACAAUAAUUAAGCAAGUGAGGUGAAAGCUAUGUUGACCAGUUUGAUGUAAGCAUUCCAAAUUGUAUAUAAAAUUACCAUAUUGUACCCCAUAAUGCAUUAAUGUAUACAGUUAUGGUUUCAUUUUUAAAAAGGGGGGAAAGAAAAAAAUAAAUGUGGCUAUUGGAAAAUCUAAUAAAAAAUAAAAAUAAUACAAUGCCAUUUUGAAUUCUUCUAUGCCAUUUGCUCUGCUGGC